rnacentral:rRNA from 1 species
CGUAGGGUCCAAGCGUUGUCCGGAUUUACUGGGCGUAAAGAGCGCGUAGGCGGUCUGUUAAGUGUAGAGUGAAAUCUCCAGGGCUCAACCCGGAAACUGCUCUGCAUACUGGCAGACUGGAGUGAUGCAGAGGUUUGUGGAAUUCCUGGUGUAACGGUGAAAUGUGUUGAUAUCAGGAGGAACACCCAUGGCGAAGGCAGCAAACUGGGCAUUAACUGACGCUGGGGCGCGAAAGCGUGGGUAGCAAACAGGAUUAGAUACCCUGGUAGUCCACGCCCUAAACGAUGGAUACUAGGCGUAAGAGGUAUCGACCCCUCUUGUGCCGCAGCUAACGCAUUAAGUAUCCCGCCUGGGGAGUACGGCCGCAAGGUUG